AUUGAACGCUGGCGGCAGGCCUAACACAUGCAAGUCGAACGAGUGGCGGACGGGUGAGUAAUGUUUGGGAAUCUAGCUUAUGGAGGGGGAUAACUACUGGAAACUGUAGCUAAUACCGCGUACCAUCGGAUGUGCCCAAGUGGGAUUAGGUAGUUGGUGGGGUAAAGGCUCACCAAGACGACGAUCUCUAGCUGGUCUGAGAGGAUGAUCAGCCACACUGGGACUGAGACACGGCCCAGACUCCUACGGGAGGCAGCAUUGGGGAAUAUUGCACAAUGGGGGCAAGCCUGAUGCAGCCAUGCCGCGUGUAUGAAGAAGGCCUUCGGGUGGUAAAGUACUUUCAGUCGGGAGGCGUUACCGACAGAAGAAGCACCGGCUAACUCCGUGCCAGCAGCCGCGGUAAUUC
rnacentral:rRNA from 1 species